GAGAAUCUAAGAUAGGACAGUCGUAGGCAAAGGAGAAGAACGAGGUAAGAAUUGUAGUGCAAAUGACAUGGUAACAUUUGAAUCCCGGAUACUGAUUCAAGAGUAUUCGCAACUCGUGGAUAGUUGCUCCCUCGAUGUAAAACCAGUGGAUGUGAGAGCUUAGUUUGGACUAGAGCAACAUCUCCUUCCACAUAUGUAGUUCAUGUAACUGGAUCCUAACUUCCCAGAAACUAGUGUGGGAGGUUUGAAUCAGAAACGAAUAUUUCCACGGACAUAUACACCUCUGUCUCCGCUGGAGGUUCAUUAGUGACGAUUGCCGAACGAGGAUUAAUCUUCAAGCUGCUGAAGGAGUAGGAACUAGAGUUCAGAUCGCUGCCGACAUCAACAACUUCCACCCUGCAGGCAGAUGUGCUACCAUAUGAAGUUUAUGCUGUUUCAACAAGGUGUCCAAUUCAUUUAGUCCUACUAAUCAGUCUAGUCAGCAUAUGAGUAUGAAACAUGAUGAUGUUGCGACAGAAAUUAGAUGGCCAUAUAAAACGAAUGAAAAUUUAGUUGGUGCAGUUAAGUGGUAUCUGAUGCAACUUCAGAAAUUUACUGGUUUAUAUGCAACGGCCUAAAAAUGAAUAUAGCAUCGAGUGCUAUAAACCCUAACACAAGACAAUCAGCUGUAUAGAUUCCUAAUGAAUCGCAACUUCCAUGCCGGGAAGAAGAGCGUUGGCUUCUGCCAGAACAAUUUUCUUGCGGUGAGCAGAGAGCUCAGAGCUGUUUUUUAGACCAAUUCUCGAAGCUAAUGCAAGCACAGAGAGAGAUCAGAGGUUGAGACCAUUAUUGUGUGAUUAUUCAAUACAAAAGACAGACAGCAGCGCUCUACCUCAUCAUUAAUUGACAACCAUGUGCUGUGGGAUAGAGCACAAGACUCCCACCCCACGGUCCUCUUUUGUAUCAUCCAUAUCCUUGUUGCAUCCAAAUUUCAAACAACCUCUCCCUCCUUCUCACUCAUUAUCACAUCUUUGUCUUGUUUUGUCUAAUUGUGUUUCUUGUCCUAUAUAUUCUCCUCCUUGUUGCAUUGGUUUGGCUCUUCUUAAUCUGGAA
rnacentral:lncRNA from 1 species